rnacentral:lncRNA from 1 species
AUCGAGUAAAAAAAAUGAGUUUAACAAGUAAUCGAAAAGAAUCUUAUAUUAGAAUGUUCCACAAGUAAUAGAAAAAAAUGAGUUUAACAAGUAAUCGAAAAGUAUUAAUAUUUCUUCUUGAACAAUGUUCCAUUUGUUGGCAAUGUGAAGAGAAUCAAGUUUAGCAGGAUUGAAGCUUUGAGAAAGCUGAGCCUUUGUUGUCAUAAUUUGAUGAGGUUUGAAAGAAAAAAUGCACGUUUUGAAAUGCAGUGCCAUGGCAAACAAAAUAUGAGCAAGCUAAGUCAGCGCUAG